CCCUUAGAUGUUCUGGGCUGCACGCGCGCUACACUGAUGUGUUCAUCGAGUUUUCGACCUUGUCCGACAGGAUUGGGUAAUCUUUUCAAAACACAUCGUGAUGGGGAUAGAUUAUUGCAAUUAUUAAUCUUCAACGAGGAAUUCCUAGUAAGCGCGAGUCAUCAGCUCGUGCUGAUUACGUCCCUGCCCUUUGUACACACCGCCCGUCGCUCCUACCGAUUGGGUGUUUCGGUGAACUAUCCAGAUCGCAGCAAUGUUCGGAUCCCGAUCGUUGCAGCGAAAAGUUUCGUGAACCUCAACACCUAGAGGAAGGAGAAGUCGUAACA
rnacentral:rRNA from 1 species